AAGGUUCUAGUAAAAUAAUUACAUAGCUCUGUCAGUACUAAAUUACAGGUCAUAAAACCUGUGAACCUUG
rnacentral:tRNA from 1 species